rnacentral:rRNA from 1 species
CAGAUUGAACGCUGGCGGCAGGCCUAACACAUGCAAGUCGAAUGGUAACAGGAAACAGCUUGCUGUUUCGCUGACGAGUGGCGGACGGGUGAGUAAUGUCUGGGAAACUGCCUGAUGGAGGGGGAUAACGUACUGGAAACGGUAGCUAAUACCGCAUAACGUCGCAAGACCAAGGAGGGGGACCUUCGGGCCGUCUUGCCAUCAGAUGUGCCCAGAUGGGAUUAGCUAGUAGGUGGGGUAACGGCUCGACCUAGGCGACGAUCCCUAGCUGGUCUGAGAGGAUGACCAGCCACACUGGAACUGAGACACGGUCCAGACUCCUACGGGAGGCAGCAGUGGGGAAUAUUGGCUACAAUGGGCGCAAGCCUGAUGCAGCCAUGCCGCGUGUAUGAAGAAGGCCUUCGGGUUGUAAAGUACUUUCAGCGGGGAGGAAGGGAGUAAAGUUAAUACCUUUGCUCAUUGACGUUACCCGCAGAAGAAGCACCGGCUAACUCCGUG